rnacentral:rRNA from 1 species
GAUGAACGCUGGCGGCGUGCUUAACACAUGCAAGUCGAACGAUGAAGCCCAGCUUGCUGGGUGGAUUAGUGGCGAACGGGUGAGUAACACGUGAGUAACCUGCCCUUAACUCUGGGAUAAGCCUGGGAAACUGGGUCUAAUACCGGAUAGGAGCGUCCACCGCAUGGUGGGUGUUGGAAAGAUUUAUCGGUUUUGGAUGGACUCGCGGCCUAUCAGCUUGUUGGUGAGGUAAUGGCUCACCAAGGCGACGACGGGUAGCCGGCUUGAGAGGGUGACCGGCCACACUGGGACUGAGACACGGCCCAGACUCCUACGGGAGGCAGCAGUGGGGAAUAUUGCACAAUGGGCGAAAGCCUGAUGCAGCGACGCCGCGUGAGGGAUGACGGCCUUCGGGUUGUAAACCUCUUUCAGUAGGGAAGAAGCGAAAGUGACGGUACCUGCAGAAGAAGCACCGGCUAACUACGUG